CCAGAGAGAUUUUCUUGCAUGAGCAACAAGAAAGUCAGAUGGACUACACGUCAAUUAAUUAGUGCAUUAUUGAGAUUUAUUUUAAGCCAUAAAAUUCAACAACGACAAUUAGUAACUUUCUGGAAAGUGAAAAUAUGAAGUUGUGGUGCUUCCUUGAAAUUAUAUUAAUAAUUUCUUGAUUAGGAGUGAAAUGGUUAGUUGGCUAUCUUAA
rnacentral:ncRNA from 1 species